GGGAUCGUAAGGGUUUCGACGUGUUAGUAGAAGCUAUCCUUUGAUGCAGGUCGAGAGCGAGCUACCUCUCGUAAAUCAAUGGCUCAAAAAAGUAAAUGCGAACAACAUCGUAUCCUUCUCUCGUAAAGCCGCUCCUGUAGCCGCCUAAGAACCUAAUUUCGGUUUCGAGGUCUGAAUUGUGACUCCGUUAAACAAAUCAGACAAACCCCCAACGGAUGCUGCCCUUAGCUUUCUCUGGUAAGCUGAAGGCUUAAGACUUUAUCAGUGCAUCUUUGGUUGCUAGAGAUAAUUAGCAAUUCCCUCUGCGAGGAUUAGAUCAGAUAAACCUGUGAAUGACUGGGAAGUUAGGCGCUGGUACGGACGGCAGUUCGACUCUGCCCGAUUCCAUAA
rnacentral:tmRNA from 1 species